rnacentral:rRNA from 1 species
UGAGCUGUGAUGGGGAGAAGACAUUGUGUCUUCGAGUCGUUGAUUUCACACUGCCGAGAAAAGCCUCUAGAUAGAAAAUAGGUGCCCGUACCGCAAACCGACACAGGUAGUCAAGAUGAGAAUUCUAAGGUGAGCGAGCGAACUCUCGUUAAGGAACUCGGCAAAAUGACCCCGUAACUUCGGGAGAAGGGGUGCUCUUUAGGGUUAACGCCCAGAAGAGCCGCAGUGAAUAGGCCCAAGCGACUGUUUAUCAAAAACACAGGUCUCUGCUAAACCGUAAGGUGAUGUAUAGGGGCUGACGCCUGCCCGGUGCUGGAAGGUUAAGAGGAGUGGUUAGCUUCUGCGAAGCUACGAAUCGAAGCCCCAGUAAACGGCGGCCGUAACUAUAACGGUCCUAAGGUAGCGAAAUUCCUUGUCGGGUAAGUUCCGACCCGCACGAAAGGCGUAACGAUUUGGGCACUGUCUCAACGAGAGACUCGGUGAAAUCAUAGUACCUGUGAAGAUGCAGGUUACCCGCGACAGGACGGA